rfam:Lactobacillus backii strain TMW 1.1989, complete genome.
GGGGAAGUACUCAAGUGGCUGAAGAGGCGCCCCUGCUAAGGGUGUAGGCGGGUUAUACCGCGCGAGAGUUCGAAUCUCUCCUUCUCCG